UGUAUGUGUGUAUGUAUGUGUGUGUAUGUGUUUGGGUGUGUGUGUGUGUGUGAGAGAGAGAGAGAGAGAGAGAUAGAGAAAGAAAGAGAGAGAAUAUAUAAAGAUGUAUAGUCAAGUAAUUGUUAACAUGUUACAGAUGGACGCCAUUAUAUAAUACAACUAUAUCGCAUAACUGAACACUUUUGUUCGUCCAACUAUCUUUUAACUAUGUGUAUGUAUGUAUAUACAUACAUACAUACAUACAUACAUACAUAUAUACAUA